GUGGGCAUAGCUCAGUGGUAGAGUGCAUGCUUAGCAUGCAUGAAGUUCCAGGUUCAAUCUCCAGUACCUCUA
rnacentral:tRNA from 1 species